rnacentral:rRNA from 1 species
GAACGGGUGAGUAACACGUGGGCAAUCUGCCCUUCACUCUGGGACAAGCCCUGGAAACGGGGUCUAAUACCGGAUAACACUCUGUCCCGCAUGGGACGGGGUUAAAAGCUCCGGCGGUGAAGGAUGAGCCCGCGGCCUAUCAGCUUGUUGGUGGGGUAAUGGCCUACCAAGGCGACGACGGGUAGCCGGCCUGAGAGGGCGACCGGCCACACUGGGACUGAGACACGGCCCAGACUCCUACGGGAGGCAGCAGUGGGGAAUAUUGCACAAUGGGCGAAAGCCUGAUGCAGCGACGCCGCGUGAGGGAUGACGGCCUUCGGGUUGUAAACCUCUUUCAGCAGGGAAGAAGCGAAAGUGACGGUACCUGCAGAAGAAGCGCCGGCUAACUACGUGCCAGCAGCCGCGGUAAUACGUAGGGCGCAAGCGUUGUCCGGAAUUAUUGGGCGUAAAGAGCUCGUAGGCGGCUUGUCACGUCGGAUGUGAAAGCCCGGGGCUUAACCCCGGGUCUGCAUUCGAUACGGGCUAGCUAGAGUGUGGUAG